rnacentral:rRNA from 1 species
UACGUAGGGUGCGAGCGUUGUCCGGAAUUAUUGGGCGUAAAGAGCUCGUAGGCGGCUUGUCGCGUCGGAUGUGAAAGCUCGGGGCUCAACUCCGAGUCGGCCGUGCGAACUGGGCUCACUGGAGCAUAGUAGAGGCAGGUGGAAUUCCGGGUGUAGCGGUGGAAUGCGUAGAGAUCCGGAAGAACACCGGUGGCGAAGGCGGCCUGCUGGGCUAUGGCUGACACUGAGGCGCGACAGCGUGGGGAGCAAACAGGG